UGCUGGGCAGGUGUAACGUGACUGGAACUGGCAAAUAAAAGACUUUCCCUCUUAACUAUAGAGUGUCAAUCCACAUGUAGACACAGCUGUGAAGGCCACUCCACACUAAAGAGUUAGGUACGAAUCAAAAGGUAUAUCAAUAUCCAUGCUUGCCACUAGGCUAGAAACAUCCGUCACCAUGGAUACUGAUAGACUCUUUGCCCUCUUGAUAUGGCACGUUCUCAUGCGUCAUCUCCUUGUAAAUACAGAGAGCAGCAUGAAAAGUAUGGAGACCAUCUGGCCUUUAGACUGGUGACGUGCUGCGGUGCUACUCUACUACACGAGAGGCAGAUAUACUGAAUGACAACUGAUGGUGGAAAUUGAAAAGAAAAUGGUCCAGGAUAAAACUCAAAUCUGGAAAGCACUUCUGAGAUGUUUGGAACCAGCUUGAUGGAGAAGUUUGUUUUUCCUGAAGUCCAUGCCUCAAACCAUUCAAUGCAUGAUAAAAGUGUGAGGAGGUGCAACAAAGUAUUAAUUGGUAUAUUUUUCCUCAUGCUCCCAACAUGUGAUGCAUGUCCUAUCCUUGAUCUGCAAAGAAUAAAAAAACUC